rnacentral:rRNA from 1 species
UACAGAGGGUGCGAGCGUUAAUCGGAAUUAUUGGGCGUAAAGAGCGUGUAGGCGGAUAGUUAAGUUAGAUGUGAAAUACUUGGGCUCAACCUGAGGACUGCGUCUAAUACUGGUUAUCUAGAGUAUGGUAGAGGGAAGUGGAAUUUCCGGUGUAGCGGUGGAAUGCAUAGAUAUCGGAAGGAACCUCAGUGGCGAAGGCGGCUUCCUGGACCAAUACUGACGCUGAGACGCGAAAGCGUGGGUAGCAAACAGG